GAGGCUUUAUCUUAACAAAAGUACUUGAGUUGCAUUCAGGUGAUGUAGGUUAAACUCCUGCAAGUCUCA
rnacentral:tRNA from 1 species